CUGCUUCAGGAAGAAAGGGCAGUUCUUGGAUCACCGUAGCCUGCUUGACUUCUCCAAUCUCAAAUUAUUCUGCUUUUGACAUAGGCAGCAGGCUAGCAGCUGGCACUUGUGAGAGCUGAGGAGGGAUUGUUUUCAGGACAACAGGAAAGAAGAGACUGACAAUGCAGAUGGAAUGGAAGAAAAUGACAAGUGAUUAAACAGCUGUAGAUGAAUGGAGAUGCAGCUUAAGAGAUUGACUGUCGCCUGCUGAAUGGAGAGAUGGAAGGAAAGAUUGCGUUCAUGUGCACCAGGAUUGCAAAUCCCACCCUCCCCCAGCAGAUCUUAAAUUGUGUUUGUUAUUUAUUUUGAGCCUUCCCAUGUAUAAGCCUUCACACAGCUCUGUACUGCACCUUUAUAGCCCCAGCUACUAUUUCUACCUCCCAGAACCUCUGAUCUUGUUUUCUGGGCAGAGAUCCUACAAAAUAAAACUUACGUGGUAAAACAA